rnacentral:tRNA from 1 species
GGCCCUGUAGUGAAAUUCAUAUUGAGUUGCAAACUCAUUGAUGUACAUUAAAAGUGUACCAGGGUCU